UCCCAGACUCCUACGGGAGGCAGCAGUGAGGAAUAUUGGUCAAUGGGCGAGAGCCUGAACCAGCCAAGUCGCGUGAGGGAGUACUGUCCUAUGGGUUGUAAACCUCUUUUGUCGGGGAGCAAAAGCCGGACGUGUCCGUCUGUGAGAGUACCCGAAGAAAAAGCAUCGGCUAACUCCGUGCCAGCAGCCGCGGUAAUACGGAGGAUGCGAGCGUUAUCCGGAUUUAUUGGGUUUAAAGGGUGCGCAGGCGGAAUGUCAAGUCAGCGGUAAAAUUUCGGGGCUCAACCCCGUCGUGCCGUUGAAACUGGCGUUCUUGAGUGAGCGAGAAGUAUGCGGAAUGCGUGGUGUAGCGGUGAAAUGCAUAGAUAUCACGCAGAACUCCGAUUGCGAAGGCAGCAUACCGGCGCUCAACUGACGCUCAUGCACGAAAGCGUGGGUAUCGAACAGGAUUAGAUACCGAGUA
rnacentral:rRNA from 1 species